UUAUGGCUAUUAGAUGGGUAUGCGUCCUAUUAGUUAGUUGGUAAGGUAACGGCUUACCAAGGCAUCGAUAGGUAGGGGUCCUGAGAGGGAGAUCCCCCACACUGGUACUGAGACACGGACCAGACUCCUACGGGAGGCAGCAGUGAGGAAUAUUGGACAAUGGGCGAGAGCCUGAUCCAGCCAUGCCGCGUGCAGGAAGACUGCCCUAUGGGUUGUAAACUGCUUUUACAGAGGAAGAACCACUCCCACGUGUGGGAGUUUGACGGUACUCUGCGAAUAAGGAUCGGCUAACUCCGUGCCAGCAGCCGCGGUAAUACGGAGGAUCCAAGCGUUAUCCGGAAUCAUUGGGUUUAAAGGGUCCGUAGGCGGGCAGUUAAGUCAGUGGUGAAAGUCUUCCGCUCAACGGGAGAACUGCCAUUGAAACUGAUUGUCUUGAGUUAUUAUGAAGUGGUUAGAAUGAGUAGUGUAGCGGUGAAAUGCAUAGAUAUUACUCAGAAUACCGAUUGCGAAGGCAGAUCACUAAUAAUAUACUGACGCUGAUGGACGAAAGCGUAGGUAGCGAACAGGAUUAGAUACCCUGGUAGUCUACGCCGUAAACGAUGGUUACUAGCUGUUCGGAUCGAUUAAGAUCUGAGUGGUUAAGCGAAAGUGAUAAGUAACCCACCUGGGGAGUACGUUCGCAAGAAUGAAACUCAAAGGAAUUGACGGGGGCCCGCACAAGCGGUGGAGCAUGUGGUUUAAUUCGAUGAUACGCGAGGAACCUUACCAGGGCUUAAAUGUAGUCUGACAGGGCUGGAAACAGCUUUUUCUUCGGACAGAUUACAAGGUGCUGCAUGGUUGUCGUCAGCUCGUGCCGUGAGGUGUCAGGUUAAGUCCUA
rnacentral:rRNA from 1 species